rnacentral:rRNA from 1 species
GAUUGACCUCGGAUCAGGUAGGGAUACCCGCUGAACUUAAGCAUAUCAAUAAGCGGAGGAAAAGAAACCAACAGGGAUUGCCUCAGUAACGGCGAGUGAAGCGGCAACAGCUCAAAUUUGAAAUCUGGGCCUCUUGGGCCCCGAGUUGUAAUUUGUAGAGGAUGUUUCGGGUGAGGUACCGUUCUAAGUUCCUUGGAACAGGGCGUCAUAGAGGGUGAGAAUCCCGUACGUGACCGGUGACCGAUCCCAUGUGAAACUCCUUCGACGAGUCGAGUUGUUUGGGAAUGCAGCUCAAAAUGGGUGGUAAAUUUCAUCUAAAGCUAAAUACUGGCCAGAGACCGAUAGCGCACAAGUAGAGUGAUCGAAAGAUGAAAAGCACUUUGGAAAGAGAGUUAAACAGUACGUGAAAUUGUUGAAAGGGAAGCGCUUGCAGCCAGACUCGCCCGGGGGUWAUCAMCCGUUCUUCGGAUCGGUGCACUUCCCCCCGGUCGGGCCAGCAUCGGUUCGGGCGGUCAGAUWAAGGUUCUGGGAAUGUAGCUCCUCUCGGGGAGUGNUAUAGCNCAGGACGUNAUGUGGNCAGCCUGGACCGAGGACCGCGNUNU